rnacentral:rRNA from 1 species
UACGUAGGGUGCGAGCGUUGUCCGGAAUUAUUGGGCGUAAAGCGCGCGUAGGUGGCCUCAUAAGUCCGCUGUGAAAGUCCAAGGCUCAACCUUGGAAAGCCGGUGGAUACUGUGAGGCUAGAGUACGGAAGAGGCGAGUGGAAUUCCUGGUGUAGCGGUGGAAUGCGCAGAUAUCAGGAGGAACACCAAUAGCGAAGGCAGCUCGCUGGGACGUUACUGACACUGAGGCGCGAAAGCGUGGGGAGCGAACAGG